GACGAACGCUGGCGGCGUGCUUAACACAUGCCAGUCGAACGGAAAGGCCCUGCUUUUGUGGGGUGCUCGAGUGGCGAACGGGUGAGUAACACGUGAGUAACCUGCCCUUGACUUUGGGAUAACUUCAGGAAACUGGGGCUAAUACCGGAUAGGAGCUCCUGCUGCAUGGUGGGGGUUGGAAAGUUUCGGCGGUUGGGGAUGGACUCGCGGCUUAUCAGCUUGUUGGUGGGGUAGUGGCUUACCAAGGCCUUGACGGGUAGCCGGCCUGAGAGGGUGACCGGCCACAUUGGGAAUGAGAUACGGCCCAGAAUCCUACGGGAGGCAGCGGGGGGGAAUAUUGCACAAUAGGCGGAAGCCUGAUGCAGCAACGCCGCGUGCGGGAUGACGGCCUUCGGGUUGUAAACCGCUUUCGCCUGUGACGAAGCGUGAGUGACGGUAAUGGGUAAAGAAGCACCGGCUAACUACGUG
rnacentral:rRNA from 1 species